UGGGGAAUUUUGCACAAUGGGGGAAACCCUGAUGCAGCGACGCCGCGUGAUUUAGAAGGCCUCCGGGUUGUAAAAAUCUUUUGUAUGGGAAGAAAAUGACAGUACAAUACGAAUAAGGACCGGCUAAUUACGUGCCAGCAGCGGCGGUAAUACGUAAGGUCCGAGCGUUGUCCGGAAUCAUUGGGCGUAAAGGGUACGUAGGCGGAUAAGCAAGUUAGAAGUGAAAUCCUAUAGCUCAACUAUAGUAAGCUUUUAAAACUGCUCAUCUUGAGGUAUGGAAGGGAAAGUGGAAUUCCUAGUGUAGCGGUGAAAUGCGCAGAUAUUAGGAGGAAUACCGGUGGCGAAGGCGACUUUCUGGCCAUAUACUGACGCUGAGGUACGAAAGCGUGGGUAGCAAACAGG
rnacentral:rRNA from 1 species